rnacentral:rRNA from 1 species
GACGAACGCUGGCGGCGUGCUUAACACAUGCAAGUCGAACGGUGAAGCGCCUUCCUUUUUGGUGGGUGUGGAUGAGUGGCGAACGGGUGAGUAACACGUUAGUAACCUGCCCCCUUCUUCUGGAUAACCGCAUGAAAGUGUUGCUAAUACGGGAUAUUCUGGUUCUGUCGCAUGAUGGUUCUGGGAAAGAUAUUGUUUCGGUGGGGGAUGGGCUCGCGGCCUAUCAGCUUGUUGGUGGGGUGAUGGCCUACCAAGGCGGUGACGGGUAGCCGGCCUGAGAGGGUGGACGGUCACAAUGGGACUGAGACACGGCCCAGACUCCUACGGGAGGCAGAAGUGGGGAAUAUUGCACAAUGGGCGCAAGACUGAUGCAGAGACGCCGCGUGAGGGAUGGAGGCCUUCGGGUUGUGAACCUCUUUCGCCAGUGAAGCAGGCCUGCCUCGUUUGUGGGUGGGUUGACGGUAGCUGGAUAAGAAGCGCCGGCUAACUACGUG